rnacentral:misc_RNA from 1 species
CGAAAUGCGAUAAGUAAUGUGAAUUGCAGAAUUCAGUGAAUCAUCGAAUCUUUGAACGCACCUUGCGCUCCUUGGUAUUCCUUGGAGCAUGCCUGUUUGAGUAUCAUGAAAUCUUCAAAGUAAAUCUUUUGUUAACUCAAUUGGUUUCUACUUUGGUAUUGGAGGUCUUUGCAGCUUCACACCUGCUCCUCUUUGUUCAUUAGCUGGAUCUCAGUGUUAUGCUUGGUUCCACUCGGCGUGAUAAGUUAUCUAUCGCUGAGGACACUGUAAAAGGUGGCCAAGGUAAAUGCAGAUGAACCGCUUCUAAUAGUCCAUUGACUUGGACAAUACUUUUAUGAUCUGAUCUCAAAUCAGGUAGGACUACCCGCUGAACUUAA